rnacentral:rRNA from 1 species
UACAUAGGUGGCAAGCGUUGUCCGGAAUGACUGGGCGUAAAGGGAGCGUAGGCGGUCUGUUAAGUUGGAAGUGAAAUCCCGGGGCUCAACCCCGGAACUGCUUUCAAGACUGACGGACUUGAGUGUAAGAGGGGUAAGCGGAAUUCCUAGUGUAGCGGUGGAAUGCGUAGAUAUUAGGAGGAACACCAGUGGCGAAGGCGGUCAACUGGACAGCAACUGACGCUGAGGCACGAAAGUGUGGGUAUCAAACAGG